rnacentral:rRNA from 1 species
GGAGCAAGGACUUUCGUAACUGAACGUCCCCUGACGCGUAUCUAACACCGAAAGCCACGGCUAACUGACGUGCCAGGGUGCCGCGGUACAUACGUAAGUGGCAAGCGUUGUCCGGAUUUAUUGGGCGUAAAGCGAGCGCAUGGCGGUUUCUUAAGUCUGAUGUGAAAGCCCGCCGGCUCAACCGGGGAGGGUCAUUGGGGACUGGGAGACUUGACUGCGAGGAAGACAGUGGAAUUCCAUGUGUAUCGGUGAAAUGCGUACAUAUAUGGAGGAACACCUGGUGGCGAACGCGGGUCUCUGGUCUGUAACUGACGCUGAUGCUCGAAUGCGUGGCGAGCGCGAAACACGAUUCCAUACCCUGGUACUCACACGCCGUAUACGAUCAGUGCUAAGUGUUGGAGGGUUUCCACCCUUCAAUGCUGCAGCCAGUCGCAGUACAGCACUCCGCCUGGAGGAGUACGACCAAUUGCGUUGGAAACUCCAAACGGAAUUGUUUAGCGGCCCGCAUAAGGCCGUGGAAUUAUGAUGAUUUAACUUCGAAGCACUCGAAGAACCUUGACCAGGACUUCACAUCCAUUAGACCCUCUAGAGACUAGAGCUCUCCCUUCUG